UGUUAACAGUGGAAAAGCUCCCAAUGACAGUGAUGUUGGCAUAUUUGAACCAAGCACAUACCCACCACUAGUAAAGGAUCCUACAAGGAAAAUCUAAUGGUGGAUUCAUCCUUUAGAAGCUGAUGGUGAGACGUUUAAUGU